CCCUCGAUAGCUCAGUUGGCAGAGCGGAGGACUGACGUGACCUCCCUGUGCGCGCGCAUCCGUGACAGAGGCCGAUGAGGAAAGACGGUCGUGACUAUAUAUAGGGAUGUUUUACCCGACUGUAGAUGUUACAACGGUGAUCUUUAGGUCGCUGGUUCAAAUCUGGCUCGAGGGA